rnacentral:rRNA from 1 species
GAACUUAGCAGAGAUGCUUUGGUGCCUUCGGGAACUCUGAGACAGGUGCUGCAUGGCUGUCGUCAGCUCGUGUUGUGAAAUGUUGGGUUAAGUCCCGCAACGAGCGCAACCCUUAUCCUUUGUUGCCAGCGGUCCGGCCGGGAACUCAAAGGAGACUGCCAGUGAUAAACUGGAGGAAGGUGGGGAUGACGUCAAGUCAUCAUGGCCCUUACGAGUAGGGCUACACACGUGCUACAAUGGCGCAUACAAAGAGAAGCGACCUCGCGAGAGCAAGCGGACCUCAUAAAGUGCGUCGUAGUCCGGAUUGGAGUCUGCAACUCGACUCCAUGAAGUCGGAAUCGCUAGUAAUCGUAGAUCAGAAUGCUACGGUCGAAUACGUUCCCGGGCCUUGUACACACCGCCCGUCACACCAUGGGAGUGGGUUGCAAAAGAAGUAGGUAGCUUAACCUUCGGGAGGGCGCUUACCACUUUGUGAUUCAUGACUGGGGUGAAGUCGUAACAAGGUAAGCGUAGCGAG